rnacentral:tRNA from 1 species
GACCUAGUGGCUCAGAUGGUAAAGCAUCUGCCUGCAAUGCAGGAGACCAGAGUUUGAUCCCUGGGUUG